UCUCAGUUUUUAAGAGUCUCUUAUGGAGAACCAGGUUUCAAACCUGAGCUGUUAAAAAUCCCUCUCACUUUAUUACCUGCACUGCCUCGUCUAUGGGUGUGCUGGUUUCUAGUCAACUCACCCAUUUGGCCUCUCCCUUGCUUUGCCCUUCAUUGUGUCCAUCUGGCUCCUAAAACCCCGCUUGCUUCAGCUCCAGUGUCCCCAAUGUGCUCACGUUUCUAUUUAUAGGAAUGGCUUCAGAGAGGUUGCUGGUAAGUGCUGGUUUCCCAAGUUUCCAAACUUGUGACAGUCUGCCUGCUCUCUGACCCAAGCUUCAGCCUGCACCAGGUCUAAUAGUCUCAGACUUUUGCUCUGUCUCUGGGCUUCACUGGCCAUGUUUGCUAUAGGACUGUCCAUGAAGCUGGGUCACGUUUGCUGGGAGCUGGGCCAGACAGCAGGUCAUUAGCCAAUAACUGCUCCAUUGAGACGUUGGACCAGAUGGGAGAGGUAAAGUCAGAGCCAGGAAAUGGAGCCAAAGGUGCAUCAAGUGCAAGCUCAGGAGAGAAGAAGCAUCAGAACCCAGGCAAAGGGCUUCAGUGGCAAAAGGCUCAGCUCAGAGCUUGAAGACCAGCACAUUCAACACUUGAAUUUAGGAAUAUCUUCUAACCACUCUACCCUCCAAAACAAGAAUUCAAACCCUAUCUGAAACAGGCUCCAGCCCUCUACUGAUGUGUUUCUCCUGGGCCUCCCUUCUCCACUUUGGAUUUCCUUUGGUUAUCUGGUUUUCUGUACGCAACAAAUAAAACAUUUGUUUGACUA